AGAAGAUGAUAAUAACAAGAAUAUAACCAAACCUAAUCAGUUGACAACUUGAUGUACUUCUAAAACUUACCACAACCUUUUUUUUUUUUGGUAACAAUGUUAAGAGAAAUUUACCACAACCUAUUCAAACUUUGCUUAUAAUAUUACACCCAAGAACAAAAAACUUGCUUAUAAUAUGACUACCAAACGGUGAGACAAAAAAAAAUGGUAGAUGAAUACUAAUUUAUUUGUAUUUUGCGACAAUACGGUGCGACAAAACUAAACAAAUCAAUAUUGUGUUUGUAUUUUAUGUCUAGAAUACUGAUUUUUUCAAGCAUGCCUACCUAAAGCACCAAUGAUACUGUAGACGUUUCUUUUUUGCAAUCUCCUUGAAAACUCUAGUAUUAUUUCGUCAUUCAUUAUAAUGUUCUCUAAGGCUCCGAAUGAUAACAACAGAUUGAGCGGUGCGGAACAAGCGGUUUGACUGCAGUGCGGUUCUAACAGUUAUAAAAUGUAUAGAUAUAUAGUAUAUGUAGAGAUUUUUGUUAUUGUUAACUGCGGUACGGUGCGGGACGGAUGUUAUCAUUCUGAACUUAAGUUUUAUGUAUAUAAUAAUCAAUACAAUACUAAAAGGGGAAUAAGAAGCCUUAUUAGCUAUGCCACGUCAGAUCAGAAAAUCAACCAAUCAAAUUCGUUUUUAAUGCCAUGUCAUCUGCGGCCGAGUCAACAAAGAAACCCUACGACUCACUCAUCGACUUCGUCUUCUUUGUUCCUCUUCAUCAAAAUUCCUUACUGCCUUUUUGAUUCUCUCUACUGCAAUCACUUUUUACCGUUUUCCUCUGCAUAGUUUCCGGCUCCGUUGAACACAGACGAUUUCAAGGGCAGGAUGUCGAGAUUUCACCAUACCGGUGUGUCCAAGAUCGGCGUUGGAUCCAUCACCUGUUACCGCCAGAUCCGCCGCCUGCAGAGUUGUCCCGCGGCCUUAAACGGUGGCUCCGAAACAGAGACCAACUCCGAAACCCUAGCUUCCCGGAUCUGCUCAAGCCUCCAAUCGUCGCUUAGGUCCGAGAAUCACAAGCUGUCGCACUCCCAAGACGGCGGGGAAGAAGCUGGACCGACGAGAAACAAACGAGAGAGAACCGCCAUCCGUCACCGUAGAUCCGUCGACACCAUCUCACUCCCCAACAAUCAGACGAGCCCAACAAAGUAAACCUUAAUCGUGUUCUGGUGACUAACAUUCUUUCUCCGUCCAGCUACGACCUCUGAACUUCAUCAAUGAAUCUGAAACGUCUCGCGUUGCAGAAACUUCAGCACCAGAACCUGAAGUGCACAGAUGAAAGUAGUUCGGAGAAGAAAGCUAUAAGUUCACUAGAUGGGACACCUGUGCACUGGCACGCUACUCUUGAAGAGGUACCAUCAGGAGUACCAACAAUAAUCAUAGCUCAUGAGUUCUAUGAUGCUCUUCCAGUUCAUCAGUUUCAGGUUUGUGUGAUUUGCAAUAUAG